GAUGAACGCUGGCGGCGUGCCUAAUACAUGCAAGUCGAGCGAACAGAUAAGGAGCUUGCUCCUUUGACGUUAGCGGCGGACGGGUGAGUAACACGUGGGUAACCUACCUAUAAGACUGGGAUAACUUCGGGAAACCGGAGCUAAUACCGGAUAAUAUUUCGAACCGCAUGGUUCGAUAGUGAAAGAUGGUUUUGCUAUCACUUAUAGAUGGACCCGCGCCGUAUUAGCUAGUUGGUAAGGUAACGGCUUACCAAGGCGACGAUACGUAGCCGACCUGAGAGGGUGAUCGGCCACACUGGAACUGAGACACGGUCCAGACUCCUACGGGAGGCAGCAGUAGGGAAUCUUCCGCAAUGGGCGAAAGCCUGACGGAGCAACGCCGCGUGAGUGAUGAAGGUCUUCGGAUCGUAAAACUCUGUUAUUAGGGAAGAACAUACGUGUAAGUAACUGUGCACGUCUUGACGGUACCUAAUCAGAAAGCCACGGCUAACUACGUGCCAGCAGCCGCGGUAAUACGUAGGUGGCAAGCGUUAUCCGGAAUUAUUGGGCGUAAAGCGCGCGUAGGCGGUUUUUUAAGUCUGAUGUGAAAGCCCACGGCUCAACCGUGGAGGGUCAUUGGAAACUGGAAAACUUGAGUGCAGAAGAGGAAAGUGGAAUUCCAUGUGUAGCGGUGAAAUGCGCAGAGAUAUGGAGGAACACCAGUGGCGAAGGCGACUUGUCUGGUCUGUAACUGACGCUGAUGUGCGAAAGCGUGGGGAUCAAACAGGAUUAGAUACCCUGGUAGUCCACGCCGUAAACGAUGAGUGCUAAGUGUUAGGGGGUUUCCGCCCCUUAGUGCUGCAGCUAACGCAUUAAGCACUCCGCCUGGGGAGUACGACCGCAAGGUUGAAACUCAAAGGAAUUGACGGGGACCCGCACAAGCGGUGGAGCAUGUGGUUUAAUUCGAAGCAACGCGAAGAACCUUACCAAAUCUUGACAUCCUUUGACAACUCUAGAGAUAGAGCUUUCCCCUUCGGGGGACAAAGUGACAGGUGGUGCAUGGUUGUCGUCAGCUCGUGUCGUGAGGUGUUGGGUUAAGUCCCGCAACGAGCGCAACCCUUAAGCUUAGUUACCAUCAUUAAGUUGGGCACUCUAAGUUGACUGCCGGUGACAAACCGGAGGAAGGUGGGGAUGACGUCAAAUCAUCAUGCCCCUUAUGAUUUGGGCUACACACGUGCUACAAUGGACAAUACAAAGGGCAGCGAAACCGCGAGGUCAAGCAAAUCCCAUAAAGUUGUUCUCAGUUCGGAUUGUAGUCUGCAACUCGACUACAUGAAGUUGGAAUCGCUAGUAAUCGUAGAUCAGCAUGCUACGGUGAAUACGUUCCCGGGUCU
rnacentral:rRNA from 1 species